UGUUCGAUUAGCACGAUAAAUCAGUUCUAGCCCGUCUUCUGACAAAGACGCAUCAAAUUUUAUCAAUAAAGAUUUUUAUUUUUUAUUAUACUAUAAUUUAGAAGCUUAGAAUUUUCAUAUUUUUGUUGCAAAGUCCCUGCACUACCCUCGAUACGGCGCGCAUUUGCGACUUUGACAUGGUUUGGGACACAAGUUUCCAGAGAUUUUUUUAUCUAAUAGUUUUUUAUUUCUGUUUUUUUCUGGCCGGUCACGUCGUCGAUGAAAGGGUCAAAUAUUUGUUUUAAAAAGGGUGAGGCAGUGAUUUUUUUUAUAUUUCAUUAUAUGUACAUGUACAUGAUACAUUUUAAUUUGUAUUGUUCAGGUUAAAAUAAACUUCCGGCUCCCCCGUAUGCAUUCUGGGCUAGUCGGCAAAUAU
rnacentral:sRNA from 1 species